rnacentral:rRNA from 1 species
AUGGCGACGGCCUUCGCUGAGCAUGCACGCCACUGCGACAGAAGCACGAGGCCAUGGAGGGGCUCACGCAGCGCGGCGGCUGUGCAGGUGGCUCGCAGCUCGACCUUGGGCGGACGGCGUCUACCGUGGGUGGUGCGCGGCCAGGCGGAACUCAUGCCGCGAUGGCGCGUGCUCUCGGUGGCCGUGAUAGCACGCGUCGGUGAGCGUGAGGGACCAUCACAGGCAGCUGUGUCGUCGUAUAGUGUAGCCGCGGCCCGCUGCAACGUAAGGAACUCACCGAGCGGCGGCUGGAUCGAGCCGGAGAGCAGUGCCGUGUUGAUGGCCAGUGUGUCCAGGUUCUGGAGUCGGCUAAGCUCGCCGGGAGGGGGCCAGAGAUGUUGGUCUCCGCGAGGCCGAGCAUGGUGUGGUUGGAACAGUUGCCGAUCUUCGGUGGAGCCGUGGAGGAUGCCGUCAUGUACCAGGAAUCACGUCGCGCACCCAGAAGGUGGGGCUAGCCAACGGAGACGUCGUCGGGAUCCAGAGCAUGUACGCGGGCAACCCGAGCUUUAA